rnacentral:rRNA from 1 species
CGUGUAGGCGGGAAUACAAGUCAGAUGUGAAAUACCGAGGCUUAACCUCGGGGCUGCAUCUGAAACUGUGUUUCUUGAGUGUCGGAGAGGAAAGUGGAAUUCCCAGUGUAGCGGUGAAAUGCGUAGAUAUUGGGAGGAACACCAGUGGCGAAGGCGACUUUCUGGACGAUAACUGACGCUGAGGCGCGAAAGCGUGGGGAGCAAACAGGAUUAGAUACCCUGGUAGUCCACGCUGUAAACGAUGGAUACUAGGUGUAGGAGGUAUCGACCCCUUCUGUGCCGGAGUUAACACAAUAAGUAUCCCACCUGGGGAGUACGGCCGCAAGGUUGAA